rnacentral:rRNA from 1 species
AGAACGAACGCUGGCGGCAGGCCUAACACAUGCAAGUCGAACGGAUGUAGCAAUACAUUAGUGGCGCACGGGAGAGUAACGCGUGGGAACCUACCUUUGGUACGGGAUAACGUCGGGAAACUGACGCUAAUACCGGAUAAGCCCUUCGGGGAAAGAUUUAUCGCCGAUAGAUGGGCCCGCGUUAGAUUAGCUAGUUGGUGAGGUAAUGGCUCACCAAGGCGACGAUCUAUAACUGGUCUGAGAGGAUGACCAGUCUCACUGGGACUGAGACACGGCCCAGACUCCUACGGGAGGCAGCAGUGGGGAAUAUUGGACAAUGGGGGCAACCCUGAUCCAGCCAUGCCGCGUGAAUGAUGAAGGCCUUCGGGUUGUAAAGUUCUUUUGGUGGGACGAUGAUGACGGUACCCACAGAAUAAGCUCCGGCUAACUUCGUGCCAGCAGCCGC